rnacentral:ncRNA from 1 species
AUGAAGGUUUGGUCCCUGGCCUUAGUAUUAAUUGUAACCAAAAUUAUACAUGCAAGUUUCAGCAUCCCCUGUGAAAAUGCCCUAACUANUCUGUCAAUUAGUUAGGAGCGGGUAUCAGGNCACACAUGCANGUAGCCCAAGANACCUUGCUAAGCCACACCCCCAAGGGACUUCAGCAGUAAUAAAUAUUGAUCACAUGAGCGCAAGCUCGAAUCAGUUAAAAUUAACAGAGUUGGUCAAUCUCGUGCCAGCCACCGCGGUUAUACGAGUAACUCACAUUAAUACUUCCCGGCGUAAAGAGUGAUUUAAGGAAUAUCUGACAAUAACUAAAGUUAAGACCUUACCAAGCUGUCACACGCACCCAUAAGCGGAACCAUCAACAACGAAAGUGACUUUACCCUACUAGAAAUCUUGAUGUCACGACAGUUAGACCCCAAACUAGGAUUAGAUACCCUACUAUGUCUAACCACAAACUUAAACAAUAACUCACUAUAUUGUUNGCCAGAGUACUACAAGCGCUAGCUUAAAACCCAAAGGACUUGGCGGUGUCCCAAACCCACCUAGAGGAGCCUGUUCUGUAACCGAUAAUCCCCGUUAAACCUCACCACUUCUAGCCAUCCCCGUCUAUAUACCGCCGUCGUCAGCUCACCCUGUGAAGGCUCAAAAGUAAGCAAAAAGAACCAACUCCCACACGUCAGGUCGAGGUGUAGCGAAUGAAGUGGGUAGAAAUGGGCUACAUUUUCUAUAAAGAAAACACGAAUGGUAAACUGAAAAAUUAUCUGAAGGUGGAUUUGGCAGUAAGAAAAGACUAGAGAGCUUCUCUGAAACCGGCUCUGGGACGCGCACACACCGCCCGUCACUCUCCUCGAAAGAAGUCUACUUAUUUUUAAUUAAAGAAAAAUACCAAGAGGAGGCAAGUCGUAACAUGGUAAGUGUACUGGAAAGUGCACUUGGAAU